AUCCUUUCAUUCUGUUAUAAAAAGAAAAUCACUGUGCUGCUGAUUGGAGUCCAGUCCUGGCUUAUUCUUCUGCUUUGCUGGAGCUAGUGUGAGGAAGCACUCUGGAAACCAGCCACCAAAAGAUUGUUUUAGCAGCACCAUUUGAUCUUCUAACAGUUAUAUCAUCAACACUGAAAUGUACAAGUUACUCAAAUUAGCAUAUGGAAUUUGUAGCAUAAAUCAACAAUAACUGUGUUCUUCUAUGUUUAACAGUGCAUACAUUGUACUAACUAAAUAAAAAUUUAGUUGCAUUUAUUUGGUUGAGAAGGGGCCUAAAUGUCUUUCCAAAAACAUGUUGGAAUUUCCUGAACAUCACUUAAUAGGGGAAUGUAGUCAAUAGAAUUUGCUAUUAUCCUGAAAUCUACUGAAGCUUUGACAUUUCUAGAAGCUUCAAAUACAUCUUUCUA